AAAGGCUGUUUCAUCCCACAUGGGCACGAAACAUACCACAUUUUACGGAGGAUGUAGCCCCAGAGAAGAGGGAGGUGGAGAAGCAUAAAUGAAAGGCACCUUUUCCUUCCUCUAGAAGGUAAAUAAUUAUAAAAUAUGCACAGAGAAUUUCUGACCUUGUGACGUUUGGGAGUGAGGAGAUCCCAUACAGAGGCAUCCAGGUAUUUCCAGAGAUCCUGUGGCAGGUGAGGUCUGCCCUCGCUGGAGCCAACUCGUCUAUAAUAUCUUCCUAACAGCAGAUACCAUAGAGGAGAGGUCGAGGUCCUUCCACUGAAGCACCAAGUGGGGUAUAUAAAGCCACACUGCCCAUGAGGGCUGUGGUGUGAGUCUGCUAGCCGUGAGAGACAGAUGCAUUACAAAGGGAUGGAUUUAGUGCACUCUUUCCUCUCUUACUCACAGCCUGAACAGCCAGUGAACAAUGAAACAAAACUUCUUCCCAAGCCUCAAUGAGGAUUGUGCCAUAGUUUGAAGAUGAAGUCUUGCUCUGUUGCCCAGUCUGGAGUGCAGUGGUACGAUCAUAACUCACUGAAGUCUCAAACUUCUGGGCUCAACCAAUCCUCCCGCUUAACCUCCCAAGUAGCUGGGACGACAGGUGCAUGCCACUACGCAUUGCUAUUAAAAAAAAAAUUGUAGAGAUGGGGUCUUACUAUGUUGCCCAGGCUAGUCUUGAACUCCUGGCCUCAAGCAAUUUUUCCAUCUUGGCCUCUGAAACGCUGGGAUUACAGGUGUGAGACACCACAAGGCCUGAUUUUUUUUUUUUUUUUUUUUUUUUUUACUGGAAAUUGGAUUACAAUCCUUCUGAGUACAAUAUAAAAUACAUUGCUUGUUGUUGAAUAAUUUUAGGAAUGGAGUAGCAUCAUAUGGAGCUUCCAACAUUCUUAUUUUGAUUUUGUAGUUUUUUAAUAAACACAGAAGACUUAACUGUUUUGAAUGAAUUUACCCAUUGCAAGCAAUUAACAUCCAAUCACUUUACUUAAAAUAAUCAAACCAUUUGUGUAUAUAUAUACAGGAUAUAUUUCUACUGUUUACUGUCUCAAAGCAUUUUAACAAGCUAUUGUGCUGGCAGAGUUAAUUAGAUCUGAAAACUGGUAUAAUAAAAACAAUAAAAAACUGUAAGAAUGCAUUAAAAUAGAACACCAAAAUAAUAGAACCUAAGGUUUCUAAAGUUGUAUUUGACAAGUCAAAUGUUCCUUAAUAACUGGAUGCAUCAGAAUACAUUGUUCAUUAUAAUAUUAAAGGCAUGUAAUGAAAUGAAAAUUGAAGCAAUAGAGAAUUCAGUAUGCACAAUUAUUUUAAAUUUAAAAUCUUACCCAUAAUGAACAUAGCUAAAAACAUAAAAGACAAAUGAUAGAGAAAUUAAAAGCAAUUAUCAAAGGAAUUCUCAGCAGAAAUUUCUGAUUUAAAUUAAAGCCUAUGAUUAAAAAUCUCCUGCCUCUUUGUCCCUCUCGCCUCUUCCCACAAUUCCUUACUGCCUCAGCACCUUGUAACUUACAUUUCUUUUCUUUAAAGACA
rnacentral:lncRNA from 1 species